CUGUUAGCAGCAUUUAUAAAGAAUUUAGAAAAGGCCACUAUAUAUAGUUCUCCAUGUAACCUUCCAUUUAACACAAAUAAGUAUGAUGAAAUCUUGUAUCUUUAUCUUAUUUUUCGUUGUCGACGUUUCAGAAUAGACGACCCGUGUGUUCAGGCAAUAACUACUUGUUCUGCAUUCUUCAAUAAAAUGUACGAGGAAAAGUGUGUGUAUGGCCAUCGACCUAAAAACUUUAGAAGUGAAUAUAGGAUCAGUAUCCAAUCAAUAUUUGCGACAAUAAUUGUGCUGAUGGUAUUGCAAAUAUAUAAAUAUUAAUGUUUAAAUAAAUAUAUGUUAUAUACAAUUAA